rnacentral:lncRNA from 1 species
UCAUACUAGGAAGCAAGAGCUGCUUGCCACAAAUGGCACUUUCCCUGGUUCUGUGUUUUGAACAGCAAAGGAUAGACUGUUUUUGUUUUUCCUUUCUCAUUUACCAUUUAUCUAUCUAUUCGGAAUAUUCUUCUUACUAAUAAAUAUCUCCUUUAUUGAUUUCUCUACCUUGGUUUCCUUGGAAAAUUGAUACUUCCUACCUUUUAUUCAGAUCAAAUUCCAGAGCAUGCAGUGGGUCUCUGAGUUUUGUAAUUAUUAGAGAGAUUAUUAUAAUGUAUUUUAUAUACGAAACAAAUACUUCCUCAUUUUUCUCUGAAAGGGGGCACAAUGUGACCUUACAGUUUAAAGUUGGUGUUCCUUAUUGAACUCCUGGAAACCACAGCGAUAUCAGAGCCACUGAGUUAAAAAACAACAACAGCCACAACAACAACAAACCACCCACAACAUGUGUAAACUUCCCAGCCAUGACUUCUGAGUCUCAUUCAAGUUGAUGCUGUGUAUUUUCAUGGAGGUACUUGAGUAAUUUGAUUACUAAGACGAGACUCGAUGAGGGAUAGCCAAAAGACAUGAAGACAAAGAGCAAAGACCAGGGAGACACUCAUGAGUCUAGAAGACUAACAGGAAAAAAAAAAAGAGGAAGUGAAUCCAGCGAGAACAUCGCUGCGUUCACCUUGACAGCCGGUGAAGCCGAUGUCCCAGACUACAUUAUCCAAACCACAAUAAGUCAAUAAUCUUUCAAGGUUCAUUUUCACAACCAAAGUCCAGAGGCAAAAAAGGAAAUGAAUAAAAAGUGCCAGAUUUUCUUAAGCCUUAAAGUAGGUAAUAAUGAAAUUUCCUAUAGAAUUAAAAAAAAAGUUAACAAACUAGAAAACAUUAAGUCCCAAGGAAAUCUUUUUUCCCAGUUGGAGUGGCUGCUACUAAUUUGAUUUAACAGAAUAUUGCAGCAAAGACAAACAAGUAGUUAUAAAAAAUUAAAUAUCCCUGGUCUCUACAAAACUAAUAAUGAUAGUGUUAAGUAUUCCUAAAGUCACACAGCAAUGUCCUCAACAUGCUCCAAGAGUGAACACAGGAGCCAAGGCCAUUCUUCCGAGGGAACUUUGACUUUCAAAUGUAGCUGGAUGCCUGACACAGCUCAUCAGCUCACUGCCCUAGACAUGAAUAUUAAAGAUAGGUAUGUCUAAAAUGGAGAUAAAGUCUCUGACUCUGUAUAGGCACAAAUAUAACUGCCAUUCUGGAAUUGUUAUAGAACUGUAGACAAAAAGAUUAGCAGCUAUUAAACUCUUACAUGUAUUUUACUAAAAGGGUAAGCAUUCCAAGUUUAUCAUAGAGAGAGUUUUCUUGUCUUACAUCUAAGAAGGAAUUUCCCUGGGAUUUUUUCAUUUCUCUCCCUUUUUCUGUCUCUUCCAUCUUUCAUUUUCACUUUUAUUUUUAUUUAUUUUUUCAUUCAUAUAAGGACGUUGAAAUUACUCACAAAGUUGAGACUUAUGUAUAAAGAAUAUUUUGAAUAUAAGGUAAAAGAAAAUUGGUUAGAAAAGAAAGUGGACACUAUUAACAAGGACUAUGCAUGAGACAGUGACUGUCAUCAUUCACAAAAUAUAUUAAAAUAGAUAUAAUAUAAUUUACAGACCACUGAGCCUUUUAGUAAAGUAAAGCAGGGCCAAUCUAAUGUCCUUUAGAUUGUUUUUGCUAUAAUAUACUGCUAAAUCAGAUUAGUAGAAGCCAUUUCAACUUAAAAAUAAGAUUUCCUUAAGACUUACAUUUUCUAGUUUGUUAAUUAUUUUAAUCCUACAGGAAAUUUUAUUAUUAUCCAUUUGAAUAUACUAGUAGAGUAUGCUCUACUCCAUUAUAAUAGAAUAUUAUAUAUAUUAAACUAUAAUAGUAUACUGUUAUACUAGAGUGGCAUUUGAUGGCGUCCUAGGAUGAAUACAAGCUGCUUAGCCAUCAGAUCUUUCAAUAAAGUCAUGUCUAAAGCAUGGCUAAUACAACAUACUUUAGCAUUAGAAUAAUAGUUUCAUAAAGCAAACAUGUACCACAUCCUAUAUAGUCUCCUCCACAUGCAAGGCAUUUACAAUGUUCCCAUUCACUAUUCUGAACCCAAAAGAAAGAGAAUAGCAAGCUGUUUGUACAGCUUCUAUCUUUCAAAUGUAAAUAAAAGAGAAUUCAAUGUGAAGUUUCUCUUAUUUACAAUACUUUGAGGAAAUGUACUGAGCAUAGACUUGUCUGCAGCUGGACACAGAGUUAGCUUCUUUAGGUAAUCAUGUUUAUUUAAAUUCUCACAACAACUACAGAACAGUCUAUUGGCAUGGGACUGAUUUUGAGACAUCUAUAAAUAGUUGAAAUGCAGUUCCUACGUGAUUUUGGUGGUCUGUCUUAAUGGAAGUAGAGGGGUAUGCUGCGGACUCCACGGACAGGCUGAAGCAUCUGUUAAUUCUUUGACAAAAAAAUUGUGGCACCUGCUCAUCUUUCAUUUCUGAGGAAAAUUUUAUUUCCCUAUGUCUGAGAUGACUCAGUCAAAGGAUUUGCAGCAGUCACCAGGGCCUGAGUUCUUUCCCAGAAACCAUAGAUAAAUUGUCUGUAGCAGCACACACUUGCAAUUUCAGCACUAGGGAGGCAGAGACAGGAGAAUCCCUGGGGAUUUCUGAAUAUCUAGUUCAGCACAAUUGAUAAGCCUUUUAUAUAGAUUUUUUUCUCAAAAUAAAAAAAAAAUGGUGUUUGUGUGAUGUUUAGGGGUGGCUAAUGAUUGACCAAGACACUAGAUCCUUACUUCUGGCCUCUAUGUCCAUUAACACACUUUGCAUAUUCAUAUACCUAUAAUACCAUAUGUAUGGACACACACACACCCAUGAAUGCAUAGACAAAUUCACUCAAGAAUGCAUGUACACACACAGCCAAUUAGAAAGAUUAGUAGACUAGAAAGAAAUCAAGUCAAAUUAGUCAAUAUAAUGGAGAGUUAAAAGUUGAAGAGCCAGAAGGGAGAGUUCAUAGAUUUCUGUGGCUGUCUGUCAAAUAUCAUGAUCUUUGAGAAGACAUGGAUAGGAAUGGUUUGGGUGUCAUGCUUCCUAAGAGAUGUAGAUAUUCUCUCAUUGCACAAAUCAUAUGGAACAAAUGCAAGGGGGGAAAGACUGCCCUAAUGUGGAGUGAAUGUUUGCCGUCUGUGUGUGUGUGUGUGUGGUGUGUGUGUGUGUGUGUGUGCGCGCGCGCUCGCAUGCGCGCAUGCAUAUAGAAAGCCUAUCAUCUUUUCUUUCAAAAAUACUUAUCAAACUGUCAAUGUUUAAAAGUUCUCAGUGUUUAUAUAAAUAAUGUUGCUAAUUUCCUUCUUAUAUUUUGAUGAUGAAAACUUGUUUAGAAAAAUUAUAUUUCAAUAAAAGAAUUUCAAGGACAUAUUUUGUUCUGGCUUCCACUAUUUAAAAUUUUACUCUCAGUUUACUUCUGAGGAUGUUUUUUUCUCUAUAUGUAUCAGCCAAUAGCAUCUAACUACAGAGGCUGCAGAGUGAGAAAGAGCACUGGCUGAUCUUGAGGGGGAUCGGGAUUCGCUUCCCAGCACCCACAAGGUGGUUCACAACCACCUGUAAUUCUAUUGCUAGAGGAUCUGAUGCCCACCCCUGGCCUCUGCUGGCACCAUGCACACAGAGUGCACAGAUAUCUAUGCAGGCAAAUGCUCAAAUAUAUAU